UUCAACAUAUGAAUGUCAGGGGACACAGUUCAGCCCAUAAUGCAGAACAUGACUAAAAGUGAGACUUGACUGUCACUCAUGUUUGAAAUGCUUGUUCCCUGGUGCCACAAAGAAAUAGCACUUGAACAUACAUUUAAUUUUCUCAGCAAGGCCAUUUUUAUUCUCUACAGAAAGGGUACAUUCACCAGCAGUUUUGCCACAAGAGUACACCGAACAAAGGAGACAGGGUUAUUUAUAACCUGACGCAUCCACCCUACUGCUGUGUCUGGUUUCCAUUGGCUGGAAUGGGACCUCACUGUAACCCACAUGGACCUAGGGGGACUGAACAAAGGGGGCAAAUGUGGGAAUAAAACACAAGAGAUGAAAGAGUAUAUUUGGAAGAAGGGGUCAGAGGGCACCUUGCCUCUAGUGGACAAGGGCCCUGAGCUUUACACAGCCCUCCGUAUUUAUUAGGCAAUAGAGAUAGCAAGAAGGAGGGGAGUGGUUGUUGGCUGGCAUUUUAUUCACAGCAGGCUGGCAAGACUGCAUUCUUAGAACAAUAGGAGCUAGAUCUCUCAAUAGAUAACUUCAAGGAGCCUGGCACCAUGGAGUGAGGCCCUCAGCAAACGUUUUGGUAGCAGGGCAGUGUGAGUUUGGCCACAUCCUGCAUUCAUGAUAAACAGUUUGCCGUUUGAUCAUAUAGCCUCCAGCAGAAUACUAAGUUGGUCAUGUCCCACAGGCUUUCGGCUCCCUGCAUAUCCCACUUUUUGUUUAUGUAUUAAUUGAAAGAAUGUAAGGCCAGACUGGGUAGCUCUCAUUCUCUGAUUGGUGGUCCAUCCAAUUUUACAGAAAACAUAGCAUUAGAACAGUGUUGUGACUCUGGCCGGCAUUCUGUCUGUCUUUACACUCAGGCUCAGCUGUCUCAUGGUUCGUACCAGAAGGACCGGGCUCAUGGUUGGCCACCCUGGGUUCCUCCAGUCUCCCAUUCCAUGGUCACACAUGUCUUGAGGGCACCCACAGGGUUUGUCCAUCUGUAAAAACACAAGUAUAUCCUCUUCCCCACGUCAGUAAAUCCACCGAACCUUUACAUUGUCCUUCUUCCGGGGAUUUCCAUAACACUUUUGGAUAAACUUUCCUCUUUUCCUUUAACAUUUGCCAAUGUCUUUCUACUGGAGUCUUACCAUCCAUACUAGGAGUCAAAAAAUUUAAAGUAGAGGCCGGGCGCGGUGGUAGUUGGCCUCCUAUACCCCCUUUUUGUUUUUUCAACAUGCAUUGUAAUGUUUGAUGGGCCCAUUCUAUAAUGACUUGUCCUCUAGCAUCAUAAGGAAUUCCUGUUUUAUGGGUUAUAGCCCAAAGCUGUAAGAAAUUUUGAAAAGCAUGACUAGUAUAAGCGGUUCCAUUAUCAGUUUUUAAUUGUUUAAGUAUCCCCAUAUGAGCAAAUGAUGACAAUGUCGCCAUACAUGACCAGCUGUCUCACCUGCUUGGCAUGUAGCAUGCAGCAUCUAUAGUCACAUGAACAUAGCUAAGCUUACCAAAGGUAACUAUUGUGUAACAUCCAUUUGCCAAACUUCAUUUGGAGCCAAACCUCAUGAGUUACAGCCUUCUACAGGUGUGGCUCCAGGGACAUGCUGACAAGUAGGACAGGCUUGUAUUAUAGCCCUAGCUUGGCUGCAAGAUAAAUGGAACACGCAAGUAAGGGUGGAAGUAUUUUGAUGCAGAAGCGCAUGAGAUGCUUGAGCUUGCUGAAACACAGAACAAAUCAAUUUAUAUCUACUUUAUCAUUCCCUAGGGAUAAUGGUCCUGGAAGUUGUGUAUGAGAACAAAUAUCAGAAAUAUGAAAAGGAUCUGCAUGAGAACGAGUAACUCGCUGAAGUCUUUUUUUGUUUUGUUUUGUUUUGUUUUUCACAUUAGAUGUUGGUAGAAAUUUUUAUUUUUUUAACUUUUAGGUUCGGUGAACAUAUGUAGGUUUGUUAUAUAAAUAAAUUGCAUGUCACAGAAGUUUGGUGUACAGAUUAUUUUGCCACCCACAUAAUAAGCAUAGAAACUGAUAGGUAAUUUUUGGAUCCUCAUCCUCUUCCCUCCCUCUAUCCUCAAGCACGCCCCAGUGUCUGCUGUUCCUUUGUGUCCAUGUGUACUCAAUGUUUGGCUCCCACUUAUAUGUGUGAACAUGAUGUCUUAAAAAUAAAUUAAACAGUUCUGGGUCUAGUGUACUUUUAAUUGUAGCAGUUUCUAUGUGACUGGUUACAUUUACAACAUAAGCUGAAUCACAGACAAUGUUGAUAGGAUCUGAAGCUGCGAGCUGUAAAACCUGAAUGACUGCAAUUAGCUCUGAGCCUUGAGCUGAAGCCCCAGAUGUCAUUAUUAUUUGAGUAUGUUUACGUCCAUAGAUAGCAGCAUGACCUCUGGAAGAGCCAUCAGUAAAGUAAGUCUGUCCACCUGCAAUAGGCUUGUGAUGAGUAAUCACAGAAAGAAUGAAAGAAUGGAUUUUAUAAAACUGUAAAAUUUUGUCUGAGGGGUAGUGAUUAUCUAUAGCACCCAUGAAAUCUGCAAAAGCAAUUUGCCAGGCAGUUGACAUUUCCCAAGCUGUGGCUUGUUGCUGGGAGUCUAAAGGAACAAUAAUUUUGUCAGGGUCAUAUCCCAUAAGCAUUUUUGACCUAUGCCUGCCCAUAGUCACAAUUUGUGUAAUUAAAGAAAGAUAAACUUGCAAGGUUUUGACUGUUUGAUUAGGUAGAAAGAGCCAUUCUAUUACUGUUGCAGACUUGUCUAUGAACUGGCCCAAUAGUCCUGUUGGAGAGUGGGGGGUAGGAGGAAUAAACAAAAGCAAAGGUUUUUGCAGUUGUAGCUGUGAGGCAUGUCUCUGCUGUAACAUUUUCUCUACAAGCCGUAAUUCGGCUUCUGCCUCUUUAGUUAGUUGCCAUGGGGAAUUUAAAGUAGAAUCUCCUUGCAGGGUUUGGUAAAGAUGUGUAAGUUGAUAGGUAGCAAUACCUAACAUUGGCUGUAGCCAAUUAAUAUCUCCUAAUAAUUGUAGAAAAUCAUUUAAAGUCUGUAACCUGUCUUUACAGAGAACUACUUUCUGAGGCCGUACACUUCUCUCCAUAACAAUAAUUCCUAAGUAUUGGUAUGGGGAAGUUGUUUGUACCUUUUUCAGAGCUAUUUUGAGAUUCCAUUUAGUCAAAGCUUGCUUCGUUUCUCUGAA
rnacentral:lncRNA from 1 species